AUUCAGGUUAAGUUAGGGAGACCAUUAUGGGAUAGAUUAAAAUUGCCAUGAUCUGAAGAGGGAGGAUUUAUUUGUGUCCUCCUCCUAUAUGAAAUGGCUGAACAGAAAAAA
rnacentral:snoRNA from 1 species